AGGACACGAAGGAGAGGAGAAGAGCUGACAGAGGACACGAAGGAGAGGAGAAGAGCUGGACGAUCUGGAAGAGUGAGGCGACGAUACAGGACGACACGAAGGAGAGGAGAAGAUCUGGACGAUCUGGAAGAACGAGAUGUCAAGUUCAACUGUUAACGGAGGUACCUCAAAUCAGUUGACGUUCAACAACAGAAAUUGCCCUAAAUGUC